UGGUCAGUGAUGAGAAACAAUGUUUGAAGAGAUAUGAGGACAUAAAAAUUAUACACAAGAAGGUUAAGCUCAGCCU